rnacentral:SRP_RNA from 1 species
UUGCUAGCCCUAUGCAAUAGGAAAUAGAAACAACGCUUCAGGAUGGGAACAUAGCAGAGCAUUUCUAUUUUUUGUGUGCCAUUGGUUUCUGGUAAAUG